rnacentral:tRNA from 1 species
AGGCCCAUCGUAUAGUGGUAGUACAGAGGUCUCCAAAACCUCUGGCGGGGGUUCGAUUCCUCCUGGGCCUGCCA